UCGCGUUGAAGGACGUGGCGUCAUGGAAAUUGUGAAAUUGUAGACCUUCUGAGGAAUGCAACGUUGAGCAUUCUGCAGAGGUCCAUGUCGCUAGGUUGCGAAACGAGACAAGUUUUUGCGAUUUAAUUGAAAUAAUAUUUCGGAGAUUCUAUGUGAAGAUCAUAUUCAACAGCUACAAAAAUGGCACAAAAUCAAAUCUUAACUCUCAAUCAGUAAAUAUUGGAAAACUACAGAGUUGCGGUGAUUGAAAACAUAACGGAAUUCUAGUUGACUGUUGAAAGUAAUGUGCAAAGAACGGCGAGACGUUUUUUUUAAACUUCAAAUGCAGAACAAUAAUUAGUAAAAACUUCAAACAAGGCAUUCUACAUAGCUUCCUAAGGAAAUUAGAAUGUUUUUUGAGUCGGGAGUGGGCGAUGACAAUGCUUUUAUUCGGAAGCAAAAGAUUGGUUUAUCGACUUACCGGCUCCCAGUAGUUGAACGUUUCAUCACAAUCA